rnacentral:misc_RNA from 1 species
AGUCGUAACAAGGUCUCCGUUGGUGAACCAGCGGAGGGAUCAUUACAGAGUUACUACUCCAAACCCAUUGUGAACCUUACCUAUGUUCUGUUGCCUCGGCGGCGUGGUCAGCGCCCCCCUCUGAAAAGAGGACGAUGCCCUCCCGCCGGCAGCACCAAACUCUUUGAAUUUUACAGCGGAUUACAGUUCUGAUUUGAAAACAAAAAACAAGUUAAAACUUUCAACAACGGAUCUCUUGGUUCUGGCAUCGAUGAAGAACGCAGCGAAAUGCGAUAAGUAAUGUGAAUUGCAGAAUUCAGUGAAUCAUCGAAUCUUUGAACGCACAUUGCGCCCGGCAGUAAUCUGCCGGGCAUGCCUGUCCGAGCGUCAUUUCAACCCUCGAACCUCCGUUUCCUCAGGGAAGCUCAGGGUCGGUGUUGGGGCGCUACGGCGAGUCUUCGCGACCCUCCGUAGGCCCUGAAAUACAGUGGCGGUCCCGCCGCGGUUGCCUUCUGCGUAGUAAGUCUCUUUUGCAAGCUCGCAUUGGGUCCCGGCGGAGGCCUGCCGUCAAACCACCUAUAACUCCAGAUGGUUUGACCUCGGAUCAGGUAGGGUUACCCGCUGAACCUAAGCAUAUCAAUA